rnacentral:rRNA from 1 species
UACGUAGGUGGCGAGCGUUGUCCGGAUUUACUGGGCGUAAAGAGCGCGCAGGCGGUCGUUCAAGUCGCGUGUGAAAGCCCCCGGCUCAACUGGGGAGGGUCACGCGAUACUGCUGUUCUUGAGGAUUGCAGAGGAGACUGGAAUUCCCGGUGUAGCGGUGAAAUGUGUAGAGAUCGGGAGGAACACCGGUGGCGAAGGCGGGUCUCUGGGCAAUUCCUGACGCUGAGGCGCGAAAGCGUGGGGAGCAAACGGG